GAACUUCUCACAAAAAGUGAAUUUUCAGAAUAAGUAUACCCCAUGCAAUAUUUGGGACCUACUUAUGCUAAAAAAGAAUUACUUGUUUGUCUGAAAUUCAGAGCCAGUUGGG
rnacentral:miRNA from 1 species